AAGAAGAUGUGAAAUAAUAUGUCUCAGUUUUCAAUAAUUCAGCUUAGGAGCACCAUUCCAAUAUGCUGCAUCGAUUCUUUAUUCUAAUUCUGGCAGUGCUCUGCAUUUUGUGCGAGUUGCAAGCCCUACCUCAACCAAGUCCAAUGAAAUAUUGCCCAUAUAUUCUGCCACACCAAAUGCAACAAUAUUGCAAUUUCACAAGUGAUUAUAAAAAAUAAUUUUAAGUAUCAAUUUUAAGGUUAUAACUUUUAAUUCUUAGGUAAAUUUAUAUCAAAUAUUUACCUCAAAAAUCGAGAAAUGAUGUAUUAUACGUAAUUGAAAAUAAAUUUUGAUUUUUUUUUAAAUAACGUGAA